rnacentral:rRNA from 1 species
GUCUGUUCGUUUUUAAGAACAGUCUGACCUGCCCACUGAUUUUUUUUAAAGGCCGCGGUAUUCCUGACCGUGCAAAGGUAGCAUAAUAAUUAGUCUUUUAAUUGAAGACUUGAAUGAAAGGUCGGACAAAAAGCAUUCUGUCUCAACUUUAUUUAUUGAAAUUAACUUUUAAGUGAAAAGGCUUAAAUUAUCUUAAAGGACGAUAAGACCCUAUAAAACUUUAUAUUUUUAUAAUUUUAUUUUAAUUUAUAUGUUUAAAAUUAACAAAUUAUUUUAAUAUUACGUUGGGGUAACGAAAGUAUAAUUAUUAACUGCUUUUUUUUUAUACAAUAAUAUUUGAUUUUUAAUAGACCCUUUAUUUUAAGAUUUUAAGAAAAAGUUACUUUAGGGAUAACAGCGUAAUUUUUUUUAAGAGUUCUUAUCGACAAAAAAGUUUGCGACCUCGAUGUUGAAUUAAAAUAACCUUAAAGGGCAGCACCUUUAAUAGGUAGGUCUGUUCGACCUAUAAAAUUUUACAUGAUUUGAGUUCAAACCGGUGUGAG